UACAGAGGGUGCAAGCGUUAAUCGGAAUUACUGGGCGUAAAGGGUGCGUAGGUGGUUUGAUAAGUUAGAUGUGAAAGUCCUGGGCUCAACCUGGGGACUGCGUCUGAUACUGUCAGGCUAGAGUACUGUAGAGGAAGGUGGAAUUUCCGGAGUAGCGGUGAAAUGCGUAGAUAUCGGAAGGAACAUCGGUGGCGAAAGCGGCCUUCUGGACAGAAACUGACACUGAGAGACGAAAGCUAGGGGAGCAAAUGGG
rnacentral:rRNA from 1 species